CGGACGGGUGAGUAAUGCCUAGGAAUCUGCCUGGUAGUGGGGGACAACGUUUCGAAAGGAACGCUAAUACCGCAUACGUCCUACGGGAGAAAGCAGGGGACCUUCGGGCCUUGCGCUAUCAGAUGAGCCUAGGUCGGAUUAGCUAGUUGGCGGGGUAAAGGCCCACCAAGGCGACGAUCCGUAGCUGGUCUGAGAGGAUGAUCAGCCACACUGGAACUGAGACACGGUCCAGACUCCUACGGGAGGCAGCAGG
rnacentral:rRNA from 1 species